rnacentral:rRNA from 1 species
UACAGAGGUCCCAAGCGUUGUUCGGAUUCACUGGGCGUAAAGGGUGCGUAGGCGGUCGGGUAAGUCUGUCGUGAAAUCUCCGAGCCCAACUCGGAAACUGCGUCGGAUACUAUUCGGCUAGAGGAAUGGAGGGGAGACUGGAAUUCUCGGUGUAGCAGUGAAAUGCGUAGAUAUCGAGAGGAACACCAGUGGCGAAGGCGGCGCUCUGGGCUGGAACUGACGCUGAGGAGCGAAAGCGUGGGGAGCGAACAGG